UCAAGAUAUUCAAAAGACGUGCGCGUGA
rnacentral:piRNA from 1 species